rnacentral:lncRNA from 1 species
AUUAUUUAACAUACAUAUCAUAUAGUUUAUGAGUAUGCAAAAAUUGAACAUAUUCAUUGGUAUUGCUCUAAAUUAGGAAGUCGUGCGACCGGUAUAGCAACAAGUGAUUUCUUUUUCUUCAAAAAAAAUCCCAAAUUUAUCUACUAAACUAGGCUUUGUCCCCUCUAACAUCUAACAAUCCUCAUUCAAAAGAGUGCACCAAAGAGCCCAAGAGCAGUGCCACCAUCUUCUCUGCUAGAGAAACCCCAACAGACAUCCUUCUCCCUAAACCAAAUGGAAAAAAACCCGAAAUUGCUGCCUCGAGGUAAUACGGCAAUGUACUUCCUGACCAUCAAGCCAACACACGAGGUUCCUAAUCUUAUAAUUUAAAGCAACCACAUCUACUACAUGCAGCAUUUAUUACCACUUUGACUUUUUUUUUAGCUGAUAACAUAUUCAUUCAUUACUUUAUGGAACUUAAAAUCUUAAAUCUUUAUCAAUUUCUUUAUCACUCGAUGAAGCUUUUCAAAAAUAUUUCUCAAAAGAAUUUUUCAAAAACAACGCUAAACUAUCUCGAAAUCCAAUUCCAAGCUCCUCAGUGCUAGUGUUGAGCUUCUGGUCUCAUUUCCUGCAAGGUAAACCCUCUUGUUUUUUUUUUUUUUUCAUUUUUAUAAAAUCUAAACACCCCUCUUUUUCUUUAUAUAUAUAUAUAUAUAUAUAUAUAUAUUUGUGAUUCUUGUUUACAAUAACUUCAGUGGGCACUUUGGAAUGCUAUGUUCUCCUGUUUCUUAGUUCACUAAUGAUUUUUGUUAUAGAUGAAUAAGGCUUGGAUGAGUUUAGAAAAGGUGCCUGAGGGCAGUGAUUUGGAACAAAUAUGUUGUUGGAGGGAAAUGAUUCAAUCUUUUAAAAUUUCUGUUAUUGUUAUCGUAAUGUUGGCUGUGUUUUUUUUUUUUUAGUUGCCAAAACUGUGCGCAGAGAGAAGUCUUAAACGCACCGUUUUGGCCCAAGUCUUCUAUUUGAAAUGAUGCGUAUUGAUGGAGGCAGUUUGGCAGCUACCAAUAUGUUAUUUGGUCGGUCAUCUUCCCUAUUUUAGCACCAAUCAGGCAAAGGAGGAACGACUAUGCAAAUACAGUCCCAAUUUUUCUCAUUUUCUUCAUCUCCUUCUCGAUGUGAAAUUUUCUCUAGAUCUUCAUUCUUUAACAAAGGUGUCAGAGCUUCGUGAUCUUCAUGGCCAACAACGAUGUGACCACACGCUUACAAAACAACAUUAGCCAACUGCAAUAGGAGUUUUCUCAGCUGGAUAACAAACUUGCAUGCUCGAUUUAAGAAGAUGCAGACAUUGGCGGAGUUAAAAAAAAAAUUUUGGGGUCGAAAUUAAAUUGUACACUUUUGCGACAGUAAAAAUUAAAUUUCAUCAUUUUAAUAACAUAUAUCCUUAUAAUUUUUAAAGGGUCAAAUCAAAUUUUUAUCAUUUUAGGUGACCAAAAUAUUAUUUUAUCAUUAUUAAUUUAAAAUUUUAUAAAUUAUAAAGGGUCUAAAUUAAAAAGUUAUCAUUUUAGGGGGGGCCACGGCGACCACGGAUAGGAAGUAGUGAUUAUAAGUAUAUUUUAUAAUGAAGACAAAGAGAUCAUCCCCAGGCAAAUAUCAAUGAGC